ACAAAUAUAAGAUUAAACUUGAUCGCGCUAUCAAAAAAUCAUGUGAAGUUUCUUUAAAUAAAUAAGUGUGUAUGUUGGCAGCAACAUUCAAUGCCAAAAAGUACAUUUUUCGCGGCAUGUCUUUUCUUUAAACUGUAUUCGGCCAUACAUACAUACAUAUGUAUGUACAUAUGUACAAUUGAUUCCGCUUUUUCAACACGGCACGACGCUUGCCAUUUCAUAAUUGCAGCCAAAGAAGUAGGACGUGUCGUAUCUUUUUUAAAGUGAAAAUAGUCUAAAAAUUAAUAUGUGCAUAUGUGUGUAUAAAAGUUAAAUUAAAAUUAUCAAAAAUAUUUUACUCGUACUGCGUUUUCCUAGAAUACAACAAAUUAGCGCGCGCCGUUACACGCAUACAUAUACAUACAUAUGCACGUAGAAUGUAUUAAUUAUUAAGUGGAUUAAAAUUUUCGGUUCUCAGAAACGUAUGAACAUACAAUCAAGUGCAGCUACACACACAUACAUAUAUCACACCGUGCGUUUACCGUUGCUUGGUCGCCAACAAAGUUGAGCGUGCCCUAGCGAACACACACAUGUACAUUUUCUGCAACACAUCUACCCACACACAGCGUGCGUUUACCGUUCCUGGCAAAGUCAUAGUGGCAAACAAAUACAUUCUCGAACCAACAUACAUACAUAUAUGCCAAAUAUACAAAAUCCAGAACGAAGCAUAUAAAACUGGAUAAAAUAUUGGAGGUUCCUGUUGAGAAUAAAACCCAUACUCGGCGUAAGGAUGUGAAAACUUUCGAUGGAGCUGAGCUUUUGAAAGCAUGGCCAAAAUAUGCUGACUCGCGGGCACCGGAAUUGAUAACUUACAAAACUAAUUAGUGUUUAGCUAUUAAGAUUGGUAAUACUCUAAGAUUGUUUAAAGUACUUUCUUUCGUUUAUGAAUUGACAACUGUGUAUGUAGCGUGUAAUGCUAUAGAAGUUAAAACAUGCAACCAUUUGCAGGCAUAUGAAUGUGGAAUAAUUAAAAAUGUAUUAGU